rnacentral:rRNA from 1 species
GCUUCGAGAUGAGCACUCCCACCUCCUUGAGAGGGUAAGGCUCCCAGUAGACGACUGGGUUGAUAGGCCGGAUAUGGAAGCCCUGUGAGGGGUGGAGUUGACCGGUACUAAUAGGCCGAGGGCUUGUCCU